rnacentral:tRNA from 1 species
AAUAAAAUGGCUGAGAUUAUAAGCAUUAGAUUGUAAAUCUAAUAACGAGAUGGAGUUCUCUUUUAUUA